rnacentral:tRNA from 1 species
GGGCGCGUAGCUCAGUUGGUUAGAGCACUACCUUGACAUGGUAGGGGUCACAGGUUCGAAUCCUGUCGCGCCCACCA